rnacentral:rRNA from 1 species
UACGGAGGGUGCGAGCGUUGUCCGGAAUCACUGGGCCUAAAGGGCGCGUAGGCGGCGCGGAAAGUCAACGGUGAAAGCUUGGGGCUCAACCCCGAGUCGGCCGUCGAUACUUCCGUGCUCGAGCACUGUAGAGGCAGGUGGAAUUCCGGGUGUAGCGGUGGAAUGCGUAGAGAUCCGGAAGAACACCGGUGGCGAAGGCGGCCUGCUGGGCAGUAGCUGACGCUGAGGCGCGAAAGCUAGGGGAGCAAACGGG